AAAGCCAGGUUAGGAUGAAGCAAGAUAAGAAACCAGCUUUUUCUAGAGCUGGGGCAGCCACAGUAAAGAUGGUCAGCCACAGCCUGAUAACUCCCUGCACGCACAACCCCAUUGCCCACCCCCCAGGGGAAGCUCCUGCCAGAAAGGGUUCAACUGACGUGUCAGAAAGUAGGACAGACGCUUAAGCAACUUUUAUUUCCACCUCCCCACUUUCACAGCAGAUUUCCUGGUGGUACAAACAUCUAUAUCCAGUGGCCUUCAAGGCAAACCCCAGGUGUGCAAUCCCAGGGAGGGACCCAGCUCCAGGGCACCAAGAACACCCAGCUACUCAGCAGUCUCCCUCCACCAAUGACCUCAGGGCAUAUGGAGAUAGCAGAAGCACCCAAAGAUCCCAGCCAAGGACUGCAGGGGUGCCUGGUCCAAACCAGAGUGUCAGUGAGCUGUGUCUUUCCUAACACUGUUACAAAGCGCAAGGAUGGGACUUCCCAAGGAUGCAGGUCCUUGUGGGGAGUUCAGAGAUCUUUCACCUACCUUGUCUCCUGGGAUCAUCACAACAACCCUAAGAGAACCCCAAGAGAAAGCAACAUUCACCUUUAAGUGCAUUACAGAGUGACAAUUAACCCACUGAAGACCCGCCACCCCAUUAACUCUCUAGAGUGGAGCUGCUCCUGCCGUCUCUGUUUAACAGAAGCAUAGCCUGAGAUCCCGAGACCUCAAGGUAAAUGUCUGAACCCCAUCACCUCAGGUACAAACGUUUAUCUCCUUACUGUGUAAUCAAAGGAAGACACCAAUGUAUUCGAUAUUGUGGAGGCUAAAGACACCUCUGUUCCUACUCCUGUCCCAAAUGUCUGUGCACAUCAGGACAGGCCUUACCAUUCUCGGUCAUUAGCUUUUAAGUAAAUGUUAACACAUUUGAACAGAACACCUUAUGUUAAUGAGAUACCACCUGUAACUGU